UCUCCCUGCCUGAAUGAGGAAGUCCGGAGGGGUGGGCGCGACACCGUAUAUAUAAUCGCGUGCCUGCUCUUUCUCCCGCUUCACUCCCCGGUCCCUGCGAGCCGCUCAGUCUAUAGGUGUUUAUAGUCGAAUCAGUGCUGUAGAACCAUGGCGUGGGAUGGCUAUAUAACCAACCUGAUGGCAGGAACACCUCCCUUCGUGCAGGAGGCAGCGAUCUGUGGGUCUGAGGCGGGGAAGGAGUCAGUCUGGGCAGCAACACCUGGAGGUCAACUGGCUGGUGUGACGGUUGCAGAGAUCAAGGCGAUGAUGUCCUUGAUCGUUCUCCUCUCUUCGCCAGUGGUCUUCAUCUCAGUGGGAACAAG